UGCAAGUAGAACGCUGAAGAGAGGAGCUUGCUCUUCUUGGAUGAGUUGCGAACGGGUGAGUAACGCGUAGGUAACCUGCCUUGUAGCGGGGGAUAACUAUUGGAAACGAUAGCUAAUACCGCAUAACAAUGGAUGACCCAUGUCAUUUAUUUGAAAGGGGCAAAUGCUCCACUACAAGAUGGACCUGCGUUGUAUUAGCUAGUAGGUGAGGUAACGGCUCACCUAGGCGACGAUACAUAGCCGACCUGAGAGGGUGAUCGGCCACACUGGGACUGAGACACGGCCCAGACUCCUACGGGAGGCAGCAGUAGGGAAUCUUCGGCAAUGGGGGCAACCCUGACCGAGCAACGCCGCGUGAGUGAAGAAGGUUUUCGGAUCGUAAAGCUCUGUUGUAAGUCAAGAACGAGUGUGAGAGUGGAAAGUUCACACUGUGACGGUAGCUUACCAGAAAGGGACGGCUAACUACGUGCCAGCAGCCGCGGUAAUACGUAGGUCCCGAGCGUUGUCCGGAUUUAUUGGGCGUAAAGCGAGCGCAGGCGGUUUGAUAAGUCUGAAGUUAAAGGCUGUGGCUCAACCAUAGUUCGCUUUGGAAACUGUCAAACUUGAGUGCAGAAGGGGAGAGUGGAAUUCCAUGUGUAGCGGUGAAAUGCGUAGAUAUAUGGAGGAACACCGGUGGCGAAAGCGGCUCUCUGGUCUGUAACUGACGCUGAGGCUCGAAAGCGUGGGGAGCGAACAGGAUUAGAUACCCUGGUAGUCCACGCCGUAAACGAUGAGUGCUAGGUGUUGGAUCCUUUCCGGGAUUCAGUGCCGCAGCUAACGCAUUAAGCACUCCGCCUGGGGAGUACGACCGCAAGGUUGAAACUCAAAGGAAUUGACGGGGGCCCGCACAAGCGGUGGAGCAUGUGGUUUAAUUCGAAGCAACGCGAAGAACCUUACCAGGUCUUGACAUCCCGAUGCUAUUUCUAGAGAUAGAAAGUUACUUCGGUACAUCGGUGACAGGUGGUGCAUGGUUGUCGUCAGCUCGUGUCGUGAGAUGUUGGGUUAAGUCCCGCAACGAGCGCAACCCCUAUUGUUAGUUGCCAUCAUUCAGUUGGGCACUCUAGCGAGACUGCCGGUAAUAAACCGGAGGAAGGUGGGGAUGACGUCAAAUCAUCAUGCCCCUUAUGACCUGGGCUACACACGUGCUACAAUGGUUGGUACAACGAGUUGCGAGUCGGUGACGGCAAGCUAAUCUCUUAAAGCCAAUCUCAGUUCGGAUUGUAGGCUGCAACUCGCCUACAUGAAGUCGGAAUCGCUAGUAAUCGCGGAUCAGCACGCCGCGGUGAAUACGUUCCCGGGCCUUGUACACACCGCCCGUCACACCACGAGAGUUUGUAACACCCGAAGUCGGUGAGGUAACCUUUUGGAGCCAGCC
rnacentral:rRNA from 1 species